AUUGAACGCUGGCGGCAGGCCUAACACAUGCAAGUCGAACGAGAGGCGGACGGGUGAGUAAUGUCUGGGAAACUGCCCGUUGGAGGGGGAUAUCUACUGGAAACGGUAGCUAUAAUCGCAUAUCAUCUGAUGUGUGCAGAUGUGAUUAGCUCGUAGGGGGGGGAACGGCUCACCUAGGCGACGAUCCCUAGCUGGUCUGAGAGGAUGACCAGCCACACUGGAACUGAGACACGGUCCAGACUCCUACGGGAGGCAGCAGUGGGGAAUAUUGCACAAUGGGCGCAAGCCUGAUGCAGCCAUGCCGCGUGUAUGAAGAAGGCCUUCGGGUUGUAAAGUACUUUCAGCGAGGAGGCGUUACCCGCAGAAGAAGCACCGGCUAACUCCGUGCCAGCAGCCGCGGUAAUUC
rnacentral:rRNA from 1 species